AGUUAUAAUUUUUUUAUGACCAUUGAAAUUGUUUUUGUCUGAAUCAGUUGAGCUUUGAGAUGAUUGAUGCAUUUGCUCAGUUACGAGGGAUUUUCUCAUCAACACAAUCCAAUCCAUUGCAAAGCCAUUUGUGGAUUUGGUAUCCUUUUUAUGCUGCAUCCGUUUUCCCCUGUUUUUCACUUUGAGCACCACGUUUGGCAUAUUAUUUGACUAGACUCUAUAACCAACUUCAAUUUCUCCCUAAUUGCUCUAGAGACAUUUUUCUUCAUUUACUUUACUAGAAUGCUUCCGGUUGAAUUUGCAAUAAAUAAAUUCAUUCAAUAUGCACAUGAUGGGGAUGCAUAAGCUAUCAGUGCAACCAAAGAAAGACUAUAUGAUGUAUGAAGUUGAGCUAAACAUAGGUUAUUUGAUCAAAGAAGAGGGAGGAGGAUCUUAUUGCAAUGCAAUGGAUGGGAAAAUUUAUUACUGCAUUAGUUGUUUUCGAUUGUUUUUGUUUUCCCUUAAUUUUGUUAAUUCAUUGUGUGAUUCUAAGUUGUACUAAUAAAUCUUAAGUGUUAAAACUUUA